CGCCCCUUAGUAUAGUGGUUAAUACGUCAGACUCUGAUCUACUUCAGGUCCUCUGAAGUCGCCGGUUCGAAUCCGGCAGGGGCGC